UACGUAGGGGGCAAGCGUUGUCCGGAUUUACUGGGCGUAAAGAGCGCGCAGGCGGUCGUAUAAGUCGAAUGGGAAAGCCCCCGGCUCAACUGGGGAGGGUCAUUCGAUACUGUUCGACUCGAAGGCAGGAGAGGGAAGUGGAAUUCCGGGUGUAGUGGUGAAAUGCGUAGAUAUCCGGAGGAACACCAGUGGCGAAGGCGACUUUCUGGCCUGUUCUUGACGCUGAGGCGCGAAAGCUAGGGGAGCAAACGGG
rnacentral:rRNA from 1 species